ensembl:lincRNA
GAAAUCCUCUUCACAGGUCAGGUACAGGUGGCUCACGCCUAUAAUCCCAGUGAUUUGGGAGGCCGAGGUGGGAGGACUGCUUGAGCCCAGGAGUUCAAGGCUGCAGUGAGCUAUGAUGGCAUCACUGCACACUAGCAUGGGUGACAGCACAAGACCCUGUCUCUUAACAAAACAAGAAAAGAGAAGAAAAUUCCCUUUAUACACAAGGGCACCUCAGCUUUUGAAUGUGUGGCCACUGCCACCUUCAUGGCCCUGGGCAGCUCGACACUAAAUUUCCAACCACCCCUUCCGGUAUGAUGAGGCUGCCUGGCCAUCCUAGGUGGAAUCAACCACACUCAGCUCUGUGGAAGACGAAAUGCCCAACACUUCCCCAGAGCCGCCUGCAGCAACUGACACCCGCCUGCCUCUGCUGCUGCUCCACCUGCUCAGGCCUGCCUCCAGAGUUGUCAGAUAGGCGGCAAGCCAAAGGGAUCCUCAUGUUCACAGAAAGUCUUCCUGAAACCCAAGUGGACACCCAGAUCAGAGACCAUGAAGUGAAACAGAUGGAGAAACUCCCUGGAAAGUUUCACUGGGAACAAACACUGGAUUAUUCAGACUAGCCUGGACCGUGAAAAAAAUUCUACUAGAAGCAUUGUGAGCUGAAUCCAGGUGCCCUGGCUUCAAAUCCUAUCAGAGGUGGGUUCUGACAUGAGGUAGAUUAUGAGCCCACAGCCACCAGGAAGAACCAGUCACAGGCAAGAGCUUUUAGCCCUGCCCAGAAGGAAAGGACCACCAAGUUCCCAAAAGCAGCAGACAAGUGUCCUCCAGGAACUGAGAGACUCAGCCUGGUACUGUGUGCUAAUAAUUACACCGGGCUUUUUUGUUUUUUAAAGAAAAAUAAGUUGUAAAAUUCCAGCACUUUGGGAGGCCAAGGCAGGUGGAUCCCUUGAGCCCAGGAGUUUGAGACCAGCCUGGACAACAUAGUGAAACCCUGACUCUAUAAAAAAAAAAAAUAAAUAAAUAAUAAUAAUAAUAAUAAUAAUAAUACAAAAAUCAGCCAGUCGUGGUGGCACGUGCCUCUUGUCCCAGCUACUCGGGAGGCUGAUGUGGUAGGAUCACUUGAACUCAGGAGGUUGAGGCUGCAGUGAGCCAAGAAUGCACCACUGCACUCCAGCCUGGGUGACAGAUCUUGUCUUAAAAAAAAAGAAAAGAAAAGACAAAAGAAAAGAAAAAGAAGGAAAAAAGAUAAAUUGAUUUCCAGACCUUAGGGGGAAAUUGAACACGCCUAAGGUUUUUCAUUGUAUCAAAGCGAAGGCAGGGCUAUGAGCCUUGUUCAUCCACACUCCACUAAAGGGAGCUGGCAGGAGUGCCAGGAAGUUCAUGUGGGGCUCACUUCCCAAGGCCUGAACCCCACAGAGGUGAUGGAGUGUGAGACAUCACACUCCACUAACUUUGUGACUGAUACUCAGUUGUCCUGCCCGUGACAGUGUUUGCUUGGGUCAGUUCUGAUGAAGAAUGAAUGUGUGUUUACAUUUAGGAAAUUUCUCCGUUUAGGUAUGUUUACACUUAACGUCACUUCAAGUAGCUUUCUAGAUUUUGGCAAAAAUAAAAUGAUGUAUACUAAAGCUAACCAUACAUAUACCCUAGCAGCCAACAUCCACUCCCAGAUAUAUUCUCAACAGAAACGUCCACAGAUACGCACAAAAAAAACAAACCCUAAAGUGUUCAUAGCAGCAUUAUUCAUAGCAGCCAAAAACCCUGGAAGCAAUACAAAUGUACAUCAUUAAUAGAAUGAAUAAACAAACAGUUGAUAUAUUCCUACAAGAGACUAUGGUUGAUUUAUGUACAGUGUAAAAUAAACCAGAAAAAAAUGAGUGCAUAGAGUGUGGUUGAUUCCAUUUAUAUAAAGUUCAGAACUGGGCAACAAAUGUAUGGUGUGAAGAGUCAGAAUAGUGGUUAUCUUUGAGGAAGAGAGUAAGUGUGGUAGCUGGGAGGGGCUUGGAGGGGCUUCCAGGGUGAUGGUGAUCUAUUUCUCAAGCUUGUUGGUGUUAUAGAAAGGAUGUUACCUUUGAAAAUUCAUUGAGCACUUAUGAUAUGCUUGCUUUUCUGUAUCUGUUGUAUGUUGAUAAAAACUGCAUUUUAAAAUAAAAAAAGUUAGUGUCUUUUAAUCAUCUAUAUGGUAACUGUAAUUGUUGCUAGGGACCAGUAUAUUAUUGUAAAAAAAUAUGGAAAAUGAUGGACUUUCCAGGUGUACUGUUGAUACAUCUGGAGAGAGCCAACUUUAUGACAGUGGUGACUAUUAUGGUUUGGUAUUGUUGACAUCUGAAGCCCUCAGUCUUACACCUAACUUAAAUUUGGCUAUUGGUCUUACCAUGUUGUUUAACAACCUAAUCUUGGAGUUUCAAGUAAUUCCAGAUACUCACUUUGAAUGCAGGACAGGAAGGUCUAGCCUACUCAUGACCUGGAUGUAGAGAAUAGGUCCUCCCUUCGUGUGUUACUUUGGAAUUGAACCCAUUAUUCUAAAAGUACACCUGGGACCUCUUUACCUCUAAGUGACUGAUGACUCAGAGGUCACUGCACAUCUUCAGAAGACAGGGCUUUAAUGAAUAAACCAAGGAGAAUAAAAAACUAAGAGGUCUCAGGGAAGAAACUGAAAGAUUUCUUUAGAAUGUUUUCCUUUGGGUUACUUCUUAAAAAUUUAAACUUUGUCAUGCUCUCCACCCCCCAAAAAAUGUAUUAUUCCUGUAGUGACUGAGUAGCUAAAUAAAAGAUACAAAUAUUGUCUAAAUAUAAGAGUCUAUGCUUUUAAAAAAACAACUUAUUGGGAUGUUAUUUAUAUACUAUGUAUUCACCCAUUGGCACUGUACAUUUCAAAGAUUUUAGUGCAUUUCUAGAAUUAUGUAACUAACACCAUAAUCCAGUUUUAGAAUAUUUCCAUCACCCCAAAAAGUUU